CUCCCCAUUUCUCCUCUUUUCUUUCGUUUUCUUUUCCCCUUCGCUGGACUCUGCAGACCCCUGUCAGUGGGUGCUUCGACGUCAUCACGCAGGACGGGAAUCUCAUCUCCGUGCUUGACGUCAUCACGCAGGACGGGAAUCUCAUCUCCGUGCUUGACAUCAUCACGUACGACGCAGGACGGGAAUCCCAUCUCCGUGCUUGACAUCAUCACGUACCACGCAGGACGGGAAUCUCAUCUCCGUGCUUGACGUCAUCACGCAGGACGGGCCUCCAUCCCCAGGUCCGUCCCCCUCCCACCUGCUCCCUUCCCCUCUCCGCUGCUCUCUGGGCUGUUGACCGUGAUUUUUCCCUUGGUGUCACAGCUGUGCACAAGGCCGGGUCACGUGGGCCCCUCAUAUGUGCACGUCGCAUACUUUGGCCCUUGGAUUCCACUCUCCCCCUUUCCCCACCCCUCCCCUGGGUCCCUUCCUCCAUCCACCCAUGUCCCUUCUAUUUCCCUGGGAUCCCCCACCUCUCUCCCUCCCCCCUCCCUCCCCCGUUGCGCUGUGGCAUCCGCGUAGGAGGGACAAUGUCCGACCUUGGACUUUCACGUCGGGCUUGUUCUCUGCAGCAUAAUACUCUCCAGCUCUGACCUUCACCAAGCAAAUCCCUCGCCCUCGCCCUCGGGACUGAACCCAGGUCACUAACCCCCGAGCCACGUCCCCAGCCCUUUUUAUUUUUUUCUUUAGAGACAGGGUCUCGCCAAGUUGCUUUUGGGCCUCGCUCAGUUGCUCAGGGCGGCCUCCAACGUGCCAUCCUCCGGCCUCAGCCUCCCAAGCCGCUGCGGUGACUGGUGCCCAGCUACAGAGAUUUUUAUUGUUUAGUCUUUUUUUUUUUUUUCUGAUUGAUGUUAAGUGACAGGCCUCUGUGGGUGGGCAGCCUAGGACCCAGCUGGGCAUUGCUUAGCUGCACAACGACGUCCCUGUCAAAUGCACCCCGCGGGGGGGAAGGAGCCACCUGGCCUCGGCUCACCCGCCUGCUUCUGAGCCCCCAGGGGUCCCUGCUGGACCCUUGGCGAGGUCCUCCUGUGGACGCUGAUUCUCUUCUGCCCCCAGCAGAAUCCAGAGAAAAUGGCAUCUUUGUGUCCCCCGCGAGGGAGGCCGAUUGUCACCUGGGCUGCAUCUGGGGCUUAAUUUAUGCUCCCGUCUCUCUGCUUCCCGGGCGUCUGCAGCCAAUCCGGUCAUUUCAGCUGUCACGGCCGCCGGGCCCCCGGGGAGAACGCGGUGGCAGCUGUAAUCUCCUUUGGGCACGUUGGGGACGCGGGAGGGAGCGCUGGGUGUUGAGCCUUUUCUUCCUCUGGUGACACAGGUGCCCGGGGUGAUCACGGCAAGAGACACGUGACCGGGUUGCCAGGGUCCCCCUGGUCUGCUUUAUUUAAUCAGGUCUCUCGCCUGGUCAGGUCCAGCCCCGAGCGCUGUCCCCAGCCCUAUUUUGCAUUUUAUUUAGGGACAGGGUCUCCCUGAGCUGCUCAGGGCCUCGCUUUGGUUGAGGCUGGCUCUGAACUCGCGAUCCUCCUGCCUCAGCCUCCCGAGAGCCACUGGGAUGACAGGUGUGGGCCACCGUCCCCGGUCACGUCGUCGCCUAGUCAUCAACUCCUACCCCCUGGGGUCUGCACACCGCCCCCUCCCCCCCCCCCAAAAAAAAAGUGACACUGCAAAUUUUUGCAAGUGCGUCUCUCUGCACGUGAGUGACAGCUGAGCGCUGUCAAAAGCAACGGGUGUGGGAGGCUGUCACCAGGCACAGCUGGGUGGCCGGCGGUAAUGAGAUCCUGCAGCCCGGUUUGUCACUCCCGGGUCCCUAAGUGAGCUCCUUAAUCCCCGUCCCUGUCCUCUGCGGGGCUGGCAGGGGCUGAGCUCUGUUUUGCAUGUCACACUGGAUCUGGGCCACCGUCAGCGGCUCCCUGGGGACGUGGCUCGGGUCCUAGGCUGCAGGAAGCCCCCGCCGCAGCGCGAUGCUCCGUUCACAGGCGGAACCGAGCCAGGCUGCGGCUCCCGGGGAAGCCAGGAGCAGAGCCAGCGGGAAAUGUCACCCGAGGGGGGUGUUCCCCAGACGUCCCCAGCGGCUCCGGAGCUGUCUCCGAGCGCCUCCCCGCGAGCCGCGCGACUAGCUCCAAGUGUCAUGAGAAAUUCAUUAGAAAACACGGGGACAGGGGGGUCCCAGCACCUUCAGACCCAGACAACGCUGUGAUUUGGGGCACAGCUGCCCCCAUAUACAGUUGUCCCCGAGGAUACUGGCUCCGAGACUCCCCGGGGAGGCCAGCCAGGGCAGAGGCCGGAGUCCCCUCGGUGACCUAGCGGGGCUGCUGAUCGCAGGUCACGUGCACAAGUCCCCCUUUAUGGUUUAAAUCACCUCGAAGAGGCCGUCUACAAAGGGACCUCGCUGUGUCCACAGUGGUCAUCCCGCAUUGCUCAGGGAAAAGAGAGAAGUCCCUGCGCGUGUUCAGAGUGGACACAAGGCUCAGGUCUUUUUUAUUCCCCUGAGACGGGGACUGAACGCAGAGGGGCUUGACCCCCGAGCCACGUCCCCAGCCUUUUAAUUUUUUUUUUUUUUUAAUUUAGAGACAGGGUCUUGCUGAAAGGCUCAGGGCCUCACGAAGUCCCAGAGGCUGGCCUCCAUCCUGCCAUCCUCCUGCCUCAGCCUCCUGAGACACUGGGAAACCCAUUUUUUCCCUCUUAUUCCCCCCUUUUUUUGAAGUUGGGGUACCAGGGAUUGAACUCAGGGGCCCUCGACCCCUGAGCCCCAUCCGCAGCCCUAUUUUGCAUAGUGACAGCUGAGCAUUGCUGUCCCACCACAGGGACAUUCUACUGUCCUUCCUACCCCCUCCCCCUCCCCUCCCUUCACUCCCCUCUGACUAAUCCAAAGCCCCUCUAUUCUCCCCUAGUGCCCCCCCUUAUUGUGAAUUAACACCCACAUAUCAGGGAGACCACAGGGCCUUUGAUUUGGGGGGAUUGGCUUAUGUCAUUUAGCAGGAUAGUCUCCAGCGCCACCCAUUUUCCAGCAAAUGCCAUCAUUUCGUUCCUCUUCAUGGCUGAGUGAUAUUCCACUGUGUAGACAUACCACAGUCUCUUUAUUCAUUCCUGUAUUGGAGGGCACCUGGGUGGGUUCCGCACUUUAGCUACUGUGAGUGGAGCUGCUAUAAACGUUGAUUUCCUCUCGCCCUACUCAGAAUGGCACCACCCAGAAGGCCAGUAGCUCACACCAGGCGUGGAACCACCCUGUGACCCAGAACUGAUCCUGAAAAACUCAAGUCCUCUUGCUGCAGUGACCCCUGCACACACCCAGGUUCACAGUGGCACAGUUCACAGUAGCCAGACUACAGAACCAGCUCAGGGGUCCGUCAGUGGACAUCCAUUUCUGUCAAGAAAUGUGGUCUCUCUGCACUCUGGAGUACUACUCGGCCGUGAAAAAGAAUGAAACGAUGGCGUUUGCAGGAAAACAGAUGGAACUAGAGACCAUGAGGCUAAGAGAAAUAAGUCCAUCUCAGAAGGUCCAGGGCGGGCAGCUCGGAACAGGCAGGAAACCCAAGCAGCCAUCAGGCUCCGGCCUGUGCUCUCGGGUAGAACCCUGGGGACAACAGGGAUGGCGUCUGGACCGCGGCCCGGAUUCCACCUUCUCCAGAACCAGCUACAAAUCCUGCGUCAACGAGGAAAUGCGCUCUGGGGCCGGCAGCUCGCGGGAAAUCCGGGGCUGCGCUGCGGGGGGGCGAUCCGUCCGGUUAGCAGAGCGGUGCAUGAGGAUGUCACCCCGAGGAGGACCUGGCAAAGCCGGCGCCGAGUGGCAGGUGCUUCCAAGCCCCAACGGAGCCCCGGUCCUAGAGCCUGGGAUACCGCCCUGAGCGCAACGCAUGCACCCCGCGAG
rnacentral:lncRNA from 1 species